UCUCUUUGACUACAGUGAAAUCACAAUGAAGUUUUUUGUGUUCGCUCUUCUACUGAUCCUGGGUACAGUAAUGCUGGCCUCAGCUGCUAAGCCGUGUAAUUGUCCCACAGCGUACAUACCUGUGUGUGGCACUAAUGGAGUCACUUACACCAACUGGUGCCAGUUAAAGUGUAGCGGAGAAAUGUUAGCACACAGAGGUCCGUGCUAGCGUGCCGUAGUGUUUGAAGAAAUAUAUCAGGAAAUAAGUAACCAUUUUAUAAUCUUAUGAUGUAGUAACGAGCAUGGCUGAUUAAGCACGAUGUGUAAAGGCAUUCAAUCGGUGAAAAUUCAAAGAACUUUUACUUAAUAAUGUAUUAAGAAAUAGAGUUUAUUAUUGAUGUUUUAAUAAAUAAAUGUACCUUAAU